CUACAAUGGCGUAAACAAAGGGAAGCGAAACCGCGAGGUCAAGCAAAUCCCAAAAAUAACGUCCCAGUUCGGACUGUAGUCUGCAACCCGACUACACGAAGCCGGAAUCGCUAGUAAUCGCGAAUCAGAAUGUCGCGGUGAAUACGUUCCCGGGUCUUGUACACACCGCCCGUCACACCAUGGGAGUCGGAAAUGCCCGAAGUCAGUGACCCAACCGCAAGGAGGGAGCUGCCGAAGGCAGGUCCGGUAACUGGGGUGAAGUCGUAACAAGGUAGC
rnacentral:rRNA from 1 species